rnacentral:lncRNA from 1 species
GUAGGAUCUCCUAUCUUUUAGAAAGGUACUUGGCAUUUUUAUAAAGGAUUCAGAGAAAGUGUUUCUUGAGGGAGAUUGAGAACAUAAGGAUAAUCCUGAAACCUACAACGAGAUGAUGUUGUACAUCAACCCCGAGAAAUAGAUAUGUAGAUAGCCUACUAAAUGGAUAUCUUUGAAAGGUAUCUAUUUACAUUGGGCUAUAGAU